CUCGGAUCACGUAGGGAUACCCGCUGAACUUAAGCAUAUCAAUAAGCGGAGGAAAAGAAACCAACAG
rnacentral:rRNA from 1 species